CCUACGGGGCGCAGCAGUGGGGAAUAUUGCACAAUGGGGGGAACCCUGAUGCAGCGACGCCGCGUGAGUGAAGAAGUAUUUCGGUAUGUAAAGCUCUGUCAGCAGGGAAGAAAGAAAUGACGGUACCUGACUAAGAAGCCCCGGCUAACUACGUGCCAGCAGCCGCGGUAAUACGUAGGGGGCAAGCGUUAUCCGGAAUUACUGGGUGUAAAGGGAGCGUAGACGGUUGAGCAAGUCUGAAGUGAAAGGCGGGGGCCCAACCCCCGGACUGCUCUGGAAACUGUACAACUUGAGUGCAGGAGAGG
rnacentral:rRNA from 1 species